rnacentral:rRNA from 1 species
UCGGGAAUUUUGCGCAAUGGACGAAAGUCUGACGCAGCAACGCCGCGUGAGGGAUGAAGGCCUUCGGGUUGUAAACCUCUUUUCUCAGGGAAGAUAAUGACGGUACCUGAGGAAUAAGCCACGGCUAACUACGUGCCAGCAGCCGCGGUAAUACGUAGGUGGCGAGCGUUGUCCGGAUUUACUGGGCGUAAAGAGCGCGCAGGCGGUCGUACAAGUCGCGUGUGAAAGCCCCCGGCUCAACUGGGGAGGGUCACGCGAUACUGAUCGACUCGAAGGCAGGAGAGGGAAGUGGAAUUCCCGGUGUAGUGGUGAAAUGCGUAGAUAUCGGGAGGAACACCAGUGGCGAAGGCGACUUCCUGGCCUGUUCUUGACGCUGAGGCGCGAAAGCUAGGGUAGCAAACGGGAUUAGAUACCCCCGUAGUCC